CCCAAUGGCCGCAAUGGGCGCCAGAGUGAGGGACGCCACGUUAGUCUCAUUUACUUAUUCGUUUUCCCUUUGAGGCCGCGGUGACACACAGACUAAUGGUGCUUCAGUAGACCAGUCCUUGGCUUCUCAUCGUAUUCAAUCAUCCUACACGAGUUAGCAGAAAUACAUAACGCAUUUGAGCAUUUGUGGGGGUCCAGCGUGGUCUACCUUCAUCUGACGCACGCCCAUCCGUCAUCCCUGAGCCCCACGGAAUGCAGUUCGGAGAAGCGGCGAAGUAUGAUGUUCUCUUGAAGGCGAAAGUGAAUACAGGAACGAAAGCGAAGUCGAGGAGGAGAAGAAGAAAGAAGACCAAUCGAGACUGACACAGAGAAGACGAGACCAUUGAAACACAGCGAGAGAGAACCCGAGAAAGAAGGUGAACUAUAAUUAUAUGCCACGAGAAACGAAGACAAUGAAAACAAAACCAUAGACUGAAAACAAAAAACCUGACCACGAGAAAACAGAAAUACACAAGAGGAGGGUAUCUGGACACCUCUCCACCCGAAAUUAACCUCUCUUUCGGCCACCUCUUUGGAUUUUUGGGGGAGCAGCGAGUA